rnacentral:RNase_P_RNA from 1 species
AGGGCCGUCUGACCCGUCGCUGCGUCCGGAUAGGGCGCAGAGGAAAGUCCGGACUCGCGCGAGCCCGCUCCGCUCCGGCGGACGGCGCUCAGAAAGACCGCUCGGGUCAAUAACCCGAGGGACGGAGGGGUGCAAGCCCCCCGUCACGUCACGUGCAGCAGAGAGCAGACCAGCCGAUGGCGCCGGCUACCCGGGUAGCCGGCGCACAGGUGAUGGGUGAAAGGGUGGGGUAAGAGCCCACCGGCGGUCUCCCGUGAGGGGCCGGCCAGGUAAACACCGGCGCGAGCAAGCCAAAUUGCCCCGGCAACCGGCUUCUGCCGGGUGUCCGGGGCUGGUAGGUGCAGCCCGGGACCCGGGGACUCCCCGGGUCCCGGGCCCGAGAGCAGCAAGAGGCUCUCGGAGAUGGAUGACGGGAUAGAACAGAAUCCGGCUUACGGGACGGCCCUGCCC